CCCUCUUGGUUAAACGGUCAUGGUAACUUCUUCUUUACCUUGUACGGCCACCUUGUACGGCCUGUCCGUACACUCACAUCCCUAACUUCAUCCUCAAGCCUCUAACCUUCUCUAGCUUCAUAUCACAUAGUUGCAUCACCUCAUUUCAACACUUUACAGCCAAGGCCAGCCUGUCCUGAACCUUAUCCACGCCCAAAGCUCUUCCAAAGGGAUCUCCACUUGAUUCUCUUUUGAUGCCAUCUGAUCAGAACCUUAUCCAUUCGCCUAACUCCUUUUCCUUAUGUCCCAAGCUUUGCACAACACCAUCAGGAGGUGUACGGACCAUGCCUUGUCCGUACCCUUGCGCCCUAACUUUGCACAAAGCCUAAAACCCCCAAAUGGUCGAGUCUGCUCUUCUUGGGUCGUCUACCGUCCGUACUGAUCCGUACAUGGCCGUACAGCCUCGCCCUAUCUUUGCACACUCGCCCAUUUGCUUCUCAACACUCUUCUAAGUCUUUCCUAGACUUUACCCUUGCUUAGAACAUCCAUCAGAUCACUUCUCUACACCUUUAGAUACUUCAUAACUCUUGAUAGGCAUUCUCCAUAGCUCUUGCCCUAUCUUUGUACAAGCCACAUCUCAACUCCACACCUUUGCCUUCUCCAUUUCUCUUCUUCAAGUUAACACUCCCCCUCAAGCUUGACUUUAGCUGAUCCUAAGUCAAGCUUGGAACCUUGAAGAACUUCCUCAUUAAAAACCUCACCAAGGAAAACCCUUUGGGACAAAACCUUGAUGAGGGAAAAAGAGUAAAGCCUCCAAGGCCUAGGGAUUGGCCAGUGAGUCUUUGUGCCUUACCAACAAUGUAAGGGACACAAAGACUCUGGAUCAUGGCCCUCAUGUGAUGCAAGAUAGAACCCACUCUUCUUGCUCAUCAUCAACACUUCUUGUACUCUUCUUCAGACAGAUCUUGGUCUCUCCCCCUUUCUCACAACCUUCUUGUUGUGAUCAAGUGCUCGGACUGGUUGAUCUUCCUUGAUAGAUACAAGCUGAGUCUUGGCUGCUUCUUCUUCAUGAGUCACCACCAUGUUACUGAAACCUUCAUGACCGGAUGCUUCAGACUGUAGUACCAAUCACCUCACUCUAGAGGCCGCAUUGGUGAUUGCUUCUUCAUCCUUCAUUCUGCUUCAUAACUGAUCUGCUCCUCUUCUUGAAUAACCACCAAGUACUCUCAGAUCAUGUAAGCUUCAACACUCCCCCUCAAGCUUGAGACUCUCACAGGAACAAGCUUGGAUGGAUAGCUUCAUGAUCUGUACCAUUACUCCAUUGCAACACCUUCUGAACUCGCCAUCUUCAUGGAUUGCUUUUGGAAGCUUCAGCUACCUCUUCAGCCACCUCACACUAGAAGUCGCACUGAUAGAGUCUCCAUCUUCUCACAGCCAAGAGUGCUCUGAACACUCUCUUGCCUAGACACGCCACUGCCUAGACCCGGAUGGCUCCUUCUUCUUCAGUUGCUUGCAAUGGACCUUCUGAACCUUCUUGAACAGACUGAUAGCUCACUAAACUCCCCUCCUCAAGCUUGGAUAGGAUGAGGGUCCAAGCUUGGAAGUGAGCAGCCGUGAGUCUUCACUAACCAGUGGCACAUAACCACUUCAGUAACCGCUCUCCAUUGCUCAUGACAAUGGGCAAUGCCUUCCUCUUUCUCUUGGAUUGGUGAAGAACUAAGAACACUCCUUGUGCACCUGAAACACCACUCAACCUCCAGAGAAGAUUAGACAUAGGUGCAUUGGGUCAGUCCUUGAUUCCACAUCAAGCUUGAACACCAAUGUCUCACUAAAGCAAUGCAAGAUCAAACAAGACACCCAAGUUUCAAAUCAUUGCAAGCUCAACUCUCUAAGUUCUAGUAUGAUCCUACAGAUUCAUUACAAGACACUUAGGCAAUUUUUGACAGCUCCUUUACUCAGCUACUAGACAUUAAUCUAGUGCCUCAAUGUAAGGUAACUUCAAGACUAUAUGCAACAGCUUUAAAUCAGUUUCAAUACAUGUAUGCAAGCAGAUUCAAUCAAUCACAACAAGCAUCACUAUGAACUGGAGCUAAGCAUAUUAAAUCAAUCUCAAUCACCAAACAAGUCUCUUUAAGCAUCCUGGGAUAGAUUCUAAAUUCAUUUCAUUUCAUUUAGCAAUCUUUAAACAAUCCUCAGGUUUUCAAUCACAUCACAACACACAACCAGAUCUUAUCACAAGCUCAUUAUCACUUAAGGUUUAAAGAAUCGCUUACUACCAAGGAACCAGGUUGGUCCUUGUAUCACUCUCGGAUGGUAAGCUCAUGACUUUGAGGAUAUGUGAGUCUGGAUCGUUACCCAUCUCCUUCUCCUUCAGUUCAUGACUUCCUCCUUGUUUCUCAUACUCACAAACCCCUCCUUUCUUCAAGCCCUCUACUCGCCAUCUUCUGCAUAGCUUUCUUUUCACACCAGAUGAGGAACAGCCUUUGGACAAGGCGCCAUGGACAAGGUUCGCGAGGCCUCUCCACACACCUUUGCUUCCAACAAGAGUCUUCAUCAGGUACAGGUUGAACUGGCUGAGAGAUAAGGAGUAACACGCCAUGCUUCAGUCUUCUUCUUCUUGAAGUAACCAGAACCGCAAGUACAUGUCUUCUAGGCUUUGAUUUGAGCUGAGGUGAGAGCAAGUGAUUUGCGGAAGCUACAGCUCAGGUUCUGAUGAACCUGGCUCUGAUACCAUGUGAGAUUUGUAGAGUUCUCUUCUCUAGUUGUGUUUGUGUGUGUAUAAACUCCAAUGGAGAAAGAUGAGAGCUUGCUCUAGGUGAUUUAGAAAGAGAGAUUGAUGAGAGUGUUUACUUAAAUCAGAAACAAGAGACUUUGAGAGAUUAAGAGAUUAGAGACUAAGAAAGGGGUAGAUUAAGGGAAUCUGAUUCAAGAACACAAUUUCUUAUUUCCAAGAAGUGGAGAGGGGAAAUCCCCCUUACUCCCUUAACCCUUACAAAUCGCCAACCUUAGGCUUAUAUAUGCCUUUACAAGAGCAAAUCAUAAACCUAAAUCUAAUGGCUGAUAAUACUUGAAGUUUAAAUGGAUGGUGUGGAUAAGCUGGUCUUGUUUGUCAUGAGGAGAAGGUGAUCUGAUUGGAUAGAAGAGGCUGGCGCCUCAUUGGCUCAUUCAAACUAGGCUGGCUCUUGAUUGGUUCUUCUUAGGCUCCUUUGUAUCAAGCUUGGAAUCAGUCUAGGUUCAUAGUCAAGGCUGCCUUUACUUUACAGCCAAGGCCAGCCUGUCCUGAACCUUAUCCACGCCCAAAGCUCUUCCAAAGGGAUCUCCACUUGAUUCUCUUUUGAUGCCAUCUGAUCAGAACCUUAUCCAUUCGCCUAACUCCUUUUCCUUAUGUCCCAAGCUUUGCACAACACCAUCAGGAGGUGUACGGACCAUGCCUUGUCCGUACCCUUGCGCCCUAACUUUGCACAAAGCCUAAAACCCCCAAAUGGUCGAGUCUGCUCUUCUUGGGUCGUCUACCGUCCGUACUGAUCCGUACAUGGCCGUACAGCCUCGCCCUAUCUUUGCACACUCGCCCAUUUGCUUCUCAACACUCUUCUAAGUCUUUCCUAGACUUUACCCUUGCUUAGAACAUCCAUCAGAUCACUUCUCUACACCUUUAGAUACUUCAUAACUCUUGAUAGGCAUUCUCCAUAGCUCUUGCCCUAUCUUUGUACAAGCCAC
rnacentral:lncRNA from 1 species